rnacentral:rRNA from 1 species
UACGUAGGGUGCGAGCGUUGUCCGGAAUUAUUGGGCGUAAAGAGCUCGUAGGCGGUCUGUUGCGUCCGCUGUGAAAACUCGGGGCUUAACCCCGAGCCUGCAGUGGAUACGGGCAGACUAGAGGUAGGUAGGGGAGAAUGGAAUUCCCGGUGUAGCGGUGAAAUGCGCAGAUAUCGGGAGGAACACCGGUGGCGAAGGCGGUUCUCUGGGGCCUUACCUGACGCUGAGGAGCGAAAGCGU